UGGGGAAUAUUGCACAAUGGGCGCAAGCCUGAUGCAGCCAUGCCGCGUGUGUGAAGAAGGCCUUCGGGUUGUAAAGCACUUUCAGCGAGGAGGAAGGUGGUGAGCUUAAUACGCUCAUCAAUUGACGUUACUCGCAGAAGAAGCACCGGCUAACUCCGUGCCAGCAGCCGCGGUAAUACGGAGGGUGCAAGCGUUAAUCGGAAUUACUGGGCGUAAAGCGCACGCAGGCGGUUUGUUAAGUCAGAUGUGAAAUCCCCGGGCUCAACCUGGGAACUGCAUUUGAAACUGGCAAGCUAGAGUCUCGUAGAGGGGGGUAGAAUUCCAGGUGUAGCGGUGAAAUGCGUAGAGAUCUGGAGGAAUACCGGUGGCGAAGGCGGCCCCCUGGACGAAGACUGACGCUCAGGUGCGAAAGCGUGGGGCAGCAAACAGGAUUAGAUACCCUGGUAGUCCACGCUGUAAAACGAUGUCGAUUUUGGAGGUUGUGCCCCUUGAGGCGUGGCUUCCGGAGCUAACGCGUUAAAUCGACCG
rnacentral:rRNA from 1 species